CAGCAGCCGCGGUAAUACCGGCGGCCCGAGUGGCGGCCACUAUUAUUGGGCUUAAAGCGUCCGUAGCCGGGUUGGUUAGUCUCCCGGGAAAUCUGGCCGCUUAACGGUCAGAAUUCCGGGAGAUACUGCCAGCCUAGGGACCGGGAGAGGCCGAGGGGAUUCCCGGAGUAGGGGUGAAAUCCUAUAAUCCCGGGAGGACCACCUGUGGCGAAGGCGCUCGGCUGGAACGGGUCCGACGGUGAGGGACGAAGGCCAGGGGAGCAAACCGGAUUAGAUACCCGGGUAGUCCUGGCUGUAAACGAUGCGGACUUUGUGUCGGACAAGCUAUGAGCUUGUCCGGUGCCGGAGGGAAACCGUUAAGUCCGCCGCCUGGGGAGUACGGCCGCAAGGCUGAAACUUAAAGGAAUUGGCGGG
rnacentral:rRNA from 1 species